ensembl:lncRNA
UCAAAACUGAAAGUUGGAUGAGUUUGGCUCAGCUUGUUGGGUUCUGGAAAUCACACGGUGCCAAGAGCAAGUGGCAGCCAAACCACGGCACGUGGUCAUACCCAGGAGAUGCACAGGGUGAGGUCCCACCAGGACACCCCUCACCAUGGGGAUGCAGCAGUUGAUUCUGGGGUCCCGUGGCAGCUCCACAUCCACAGUGACCAAAGGGCCCACAGGGACAGUGGCCCCGGAGGUAGCUGGUGACUGAAGACUGCUGGAUUGCUCCAUACCUGGAUGAGAUGUGUGAGGUUGCCGGGGAUGCUGGUGGCUGUGGGUCUCCUGAUGACCACAGCCAAGGCAGGCCAGGUUGGAUGGGGCCUUGGCAACCUGAGCUGGAUUUCAGCCUCCAGAUUUCAGCCCCCAAAAUGUGCCAAGCGUGAGCCUUCAGCGAGAGCUUCAUCCACGCAACCCAUGCUGGACUAACUCAUCCCAGUUCAACCGCUCCCUGCAGCAGGAGUUUUGCGUUCAUGGAAGCACCUGGUGUAUUAGAAGUUGGUUUUGGAAUGCACUCGCAGUGCCAACAGCCACAGUGACCGUCCUGCUGCCGGGCUGAGCAGUGGGGGGCUCUGCACUGGGGGAUGGAGCCUGAGCUGUGGCCUUGGGACCUGGCUGAGUUUCCCUGCUUCCAGCUGGGGGAUGGGGACAUCAGGAACAGGACGCAUCUAGGAACAGGAGCAGGUGCUGCCUUGCUUACCAUGGGGCUUUAAAGGCCAGGCUCACCCCAGCAAGGCAGUGGGUCCUCAGUUAGCUGCCCAGCUCCUUGUAAGGUCAUAUUUGUCAUCUCAAAAUACAGUUUGCUGUAGAACAGAGAAUAUUUAGAAGGGAUUUGAUAAGUAACAUCUGCUGCUGUACUGAAAUUUCAGUUCAAAGUGCUAAAAACUUUAAAAAGAAAGAGGUUUGGGUAAAAAUAAAAGGUCUCUGGAGAUGUCUCCUUGGCAGGAUCCUCCUCUCCUCCUUACACACAGCAGAUUUGUUCAUGUUUGUCAUUAUCCAUCAAACCAGAGUGCAGCAAAGGGCAGCUUUCAAGAGAUGAACCUGGAGGAGAUAAUAUUUCGCACCGCAUAAAAUGCACCUCGGGAAUUUUCGGUUCUUCUUCCCUGUUACAUUACAAGGGCCUUCAUAAAAAGUGUCACAGCUCACGAGCUAAAAAAGAAAAAGAAGAAAAGAGAAAAAAAAAAAAAAAAGCAGCAGCUUGUGGCUUUGGAUGCAUUCAGUGCGCGUUUGUGGUCGGCGUUUCCCAGGCUGCUCGGGGGUGAGCGCCAGGUCGGCCCUCGCACGGCGCUCUGCAGGCGCUGUUUCUGUAUGAGUGAUAGCAGGCACUGAACGGCAGCACUGCGGCUGAAGGCUCCAUCCUGCCCAGGGGGUUGGGAUGGGGAUGCAGCUCCCAGCCGCCCCGCUGCUGCUGCUGUGUUCAAUGAGGUGGGAGUGGGCGCUAACCCGGGGUUUGAGG